rnacentral:rRNA from 1 species
GACGAACGCUGGCGGCGUGCCUAAUACAUGCAAGUCGAGCGAAGCGGCGGGUGGGUGAGAAACGCGUGGCUAACCUUCCCUUAAGUCAGUGAUACCAUUUGGAAACAGAUGCUAAUACCGGAUAAUCAAGGAUGGACCUACGAUGCAUUAGCUAGUUGGUAAGGGAACGGCUUACAAAGGCGAUGAUGCAUAGGCGGUGUGAGAGACUGAUCGGCCACAUUGGGACUGAGACACGGCCCAAACUCCUACGGGAGGCAGCAGUAGGGAAUCUUCCACAAUGGACGAAAGUCUGAUGGAGCAACGCCGCGUGAGUGAAGAAGGUUUUCGGAUCGUAAAGCUCUGUUGUUGGUGAAGCGGUAAUCAACCAGAAAGUCACGGCUAACUACGUGCCAGCAGCCGCGGUAAUAC